AUUUCCAACUGGAGGAACAGCAACUGCAAAGCUCUGUGGCGAGAAUAUCCCUGGCAAAUCCACAGGACAGAAAGUGCAGCCAUCGGUACAUGAGGAAUACAUGGAAGGAAGUGGCAGCAUUUGUUCUGUCAGAUUUUACUUCAUCUAAUUCAUCAUCUGUCAUCAGAAAUAUAAUCUGGAAAAUACCAUAAACCAAGAUACCUGUGAGCAGGUGAUUGCUGAAAAGGUAAAGACACUGAACAGUAUAUGUAAAAAGGAUAUCAGAAGACUCUGAAAGGUAGAGAGAAGAAAGAAGACUUGCCUCAGGACCUGAAGAAAGACGUGGUGGUGGGUUCCCAGAAUUAUUUUUUCAUUCAAACAUCACAAGCUUGAAGCUGAAAAAGCCAGCAACCCAGAAAUGAACGGGCAAAAAUAGACUUUCAAAAAGCCUGCUCCCUCUAGUUGAAGGACCAAAAAAAAAAGGAAAGCCUAGUAAUACAGAAAACAUUCAGACAAUAAUUUUUCUACUCCAGUGAAACGCCAUAAAAGAAACAGAUGAAAAAGCAGAGUGACCCUACUCCUAGCCAUACCAGCAAGGGCCUAGUCGGUGCCUAGACUUCUACACUCUUUAGGCUGUAAUGUGGCAUCCAACAGCCUUGCCAGGGUAGUGUAAGAUUAGACAAUGUAGGAAGCUAGAACUUCUAUCCGCACCAUCUGGUAAUGAGUGACUCUCCCAAAUCUCCCUCACAUGGUAAAAAUGUCAGUGAAGAACAUAUAGGGAGUCUAGUCUUCCAUCUCCACCUGGCAGUAAUGAGGUACUCCUCCCUCUCCCCGCUAGAGUGGUGUCAGAGGAGAUCUAGUGGAGAGUGAUGGCUUUGGGCAUUAACUCUCAAAUGGAGAGGCUACCUGGGAAUCCAGAACACCCAUCUUAUCCAGGAGUAAGGAGGAACUCCCCAACUCAGGUGCCAGUGGAGGCCAAGUUAGGAAGCUGAAUAUCUACGCCCACCUAGUAGUAAUACUACAGUGUGCCCAAAACCCUUUUCUCUGCCAGAAUGAUGUGAGGGAAAACCAGGUUUAAAAGAAUGUUUUAAAUAAGAUCUAGACUGUCAUCAUAACAUCACAUAGAAAUGUCCAGAUUUCAAUAAAAAAAUAAAGAACCAGAAAGAUCUCCAAUUGAAAAAAUAAUAAAUAAAUAGAUGACAACACUGAGAUAACAGAGAUGUUAGAAUUGUCAAAGAUUUUAAAGCACCCGUGACUUUUAAAAAAUGACCCAGUGAACAAUUAUAAACAUGCCAGAAACAAAUAAAAAUAUAGCAAAGAAAUGUCAAGUCUCAGAAAAUAAAUAGAAGAAAUAAAGGAAAUCAAAUGAACAUUUUAAAACUUAAAAAUGCAAUAUCCAACAGAAGAAUGAUGUGGACAGAAGAAAGAAUCAGUGACCCGGAAGUUAGAUAAAUAGGAGCUACUCAAUGUGAAUAACAGAAAAUAGACUGAAAAAACGAACAGAACCCUAGAGACUUUGGAACUAUAACAAAAGAUCUAACAUUCAUGCUAUCAGAAUCAUGAAUGUGGGAAAAGUAUGUGAAGAAACAAUGGCUGAAAACUUCCCAAAUUGGUGUGACACAUAGCUACAGGUUCAAGAGACUAAAUGGAUCACAAAUAGGAUAAACCCAAAGAAACACACACCAAAACACAUAAUAAUUAAAAUUCUGAAAAUUAAGGAGAAAGAAAAAAUCUUGAAGGCUAUGAGAAAGAAAUGCCACCUUACCUUUAGGGCAAAAACAAUUGGAAUAAUGGUGGGUUUUUUAUCAAACAUCGUGGAGGCCAGAAGUAAGUAAAUAUACACAUAAUACACGCUCUAGCAGGUGUACUUCUAGGCAUUUAUCUCAGAGAAAUGAGGUCUUAUGUUUACACAAAACCAAAUGUUUAUAGUGACUUGCAAUAGGUGAAUAAUGGAAACAGCUCAGAUUUUGCUCAACAGAUGAAUAGUUCAACAAACUGUGGUACAUUCAUGCUCUAGAAUAUUAUUUAGCAAUAAAAAAAAAAACAGGCCAGGCAUGGCUGC